rnacentral:rRNA from 1 species
CCUACGGGUGGCAGCAGUGAGGAAUAUUGGUCAAUGGACGGAAGUCUGAACCAGCCAUGCCGCGUGCAGGAUGACGGCUCUAUGAGUUGUAAACUGCUUUUGUACGAGAAUAAUAGUUCUUACGUGUAGGGAUUUGCAUGUAACGUACGAAUAAGGAUCGGCUAACUCCGUGCCAGCAGACGCGGUAAUACGGAAGAGUCGAGCGUUAGCCGGAUGUAUUGGGGUUAAAGGGUGCGUAGGCUGUUGGAUAAGUUAGAGGUCAAAUGUCGGGGCUUAACCCCGUGCCUGCCUCUGAUACUGGUAGACUAGAGAGCGGAUGCAGCAGGCGGAAUGAGUAGUGUAGCGGUGAAAUGCUUAGAUAUUACUCAGAACACCGAUUGCGCAGGCAGCUUGCUAAUCCGCAUCUGACGCUGAUGCAUGAAAGCGUGGGUAGCGAACAGGAUUAGAUACCCUUGUAGUC